AGGAAAGUCAUAGUGUAAUGUCAAAAAGGACUUUGGCAAUUUAUCCACUUAUUCUUUGUUGCUUGGUUUUCAACCUGCUUCUCUCUUUCUUAUAAAGUAGGCUUUUGGUGUUUUCUCUCCUUUUUGAGUUAUCAUGCUCAGUUAUAUACUGUUUCCUAGAUUCUUUUUGCCUGAAAUGUAGUAACUGCAUGCAUCUUCCAUAGUGCUACUUAGUUAAUUUGUAUCAUGCAGCCUAGCCUUCACAAAUCUAGCAUUUUGGCACUUGUUUUGCAUAUACACUUGCAUUUUGUAGAUACGGUUUUGAGAACUUUGCAGGUUAAGACAUCAGAUUAGCAGACUGAAUUGUGCUUGCAGUUGCACCUUUUAAAUGGCUUGGUGACCAAUGAUAAUAGGUAAAAUCUCUCACCAUUUCAAGUUUUCUCCCUUCUAUUUGAAGUUUCUUUCUUUUCUGUAGCCAGAAAAUUGUGGUGAGGCUGGAAAAUGGAGCCAGGGAAGAGAAUCUACCUGGCUUUGGCCUUUGCUGUCUAAUCUCUUGCUAUCAGGUUGCUUUCUGCAAAUUCUAUUCAUGAAAUCAGUUUCUCCUUUUACUCACUGUUGAGAGGAUUUUUAGAUAUUUCAUCACAUUGCUCUUUUUACCUCUCUCCUUCUCCUUUGUUACCUGCAUUGACUACUUACGAUGAAAUUGAUACAAUCUAAAGUUGAAUCUUGAAUAAUUGAUUAUGAGUUCUGGCUUGUCUUUACUUUUUUUUUUUUUAAAGAAGAGAGGUACAAAUAAAGGCCUAGUAGUUCUUAAGACAUGCAACCACAAUAACCUCAUAAGUGGGUUUAGUAUUAGGCUAGACACACCAGCUGAAAGCCUCAAAUCCAAACUGUUCAGUUGAUUAUCACAUUAGGUGACACGCUGGAUUGUUUAAAGUUCUAAAAGCUAGGUUAGUAUUAUUGUGCUAACAUCAAUGCUAAACAAAGCCUAAAUAACACCGAUGAGUCAAGUCUUUAGGUGAUAAUGUUCAUAAAGAUAGCCAAUCUCCUUUCUUUUACUUGUUGAAAUCCAGCUUUAGGGUGUGUAAACUCAAAAAUCUUAAGAGUCUAUUAAAGUCUUUCCUGCUAAAAUUCCUUUUUUGGCUUGUAUUACUUGGAAGGCAUAUAUUCAUUACUAGUUGCACAAAUGAAGCCAAUGCAUUAAUUCUUUUGUAAGAAACCUUCAUUAAACAAGAGAGCAUUGCAGCAGACAUAAUAACAAUACAGUCCAGCUGUAACAGAGAGUGCAUGACAGCAAUCAUAGAUCACUAAAGCACAACUGACGGCACGAAAGCCAGUCGAAAACAAAGUCAAGACAGCUGACAAGAAAGCCAAUUGAGACCAAAGAUCAAACAUCCAAACCCCAGAACAAAAGCGUGAUGACCCAAGGAUCACGGUCAACACCUUCACCAAUGACAGCAAGGAGUAGGAAAUAAACCCAAGGUAAUUGGGGGGGCUGUAAAACCAUUGAAUCCUGAGUCAUUCAUGGCCCUUGCUCUUGCAGAUGAUACAACUGUGUUUUGUGGAAAAAAUACGGGGGAACAACAACAAUAAAUGCAUUAAAUUUGAACUGGCCUUCUCUUUGUACUCUUCUCCUUGUCUGCUUUGCUUUCUCAGACUCUUCUAGCCUAGAUUAUGCUAUUCAGAUUUAGAAGUUAAGUACAGGUAUAAUUUUUUCUUUUCAUUUUUUAUUAUUCAAAGCAUCAUAUUUGAUAUUCAUGUGCGUGUUUUGGACCCAUAAGCCAAAAUUUCCUUCUCCAUUGUUUUACUUUUUUCAAAGCCGGUCCUGUAAAACGUACAUCUUUGGCUUGUUGCAAUGCAGCUUAUGUUACUCUGAUCAAUACAAAUGUAACGAUUAUUCGUUGUCAG
rnacentral:lncRNA from 1 species